CCUACGGGCGGCAGCAGUGAGGAAUAUUGGUCAAUGGUCGGGAGACUGAACCAGCCAAGCCGCGUGAGGGAGGAAGGUACAGAGUAUCGUAAACCUCUUUUGUCAGGGAACAAAGGCGGGGACGUGUCCCCGGAUGAGUGUACCUGAAGAAAAAGCAUCGGCUAACUCGGUGCCAGCAGCCGCGGUAAUACGGAGGAUGCGAGCGUUAUCCGGAUUUAUUGGGUUGAAAGGGUCCGCAGGCGGUGUGUUAAGACAGCGGGAAAAGCCCGGGGCGCCACCCCGGCCCGCCGUUGAAACUGGCAGUCUCGAGUUGGAGAGAAGUAUGCGGAAUGCGCGGUGUAGCGGUGAAAUGCAUAGAUAUCGCGCAGAACUCCGAUUGCGAAGGCAGCAUGCCGGCUCCACACUGACGCUGAGGCACGAAAGCGUGGGUAUCGAACAGGAUUAGAUACCCCAGUAGUC
rnacentral:rRNA from 1 species